AGGACGAACGCUGGCGGCGUGCUUAACACAUGCAAGUCGAACGGAAAGGCCCUUCGGGGUACUCGAGUGGCGAACGGGUGAGUAACACGUGAGCAAUCUGCCCCUAGCUCUGGGAUAGCUCCGGGAAACCGGGAUUAAUACCAGAUAUUACUACGGCCGACAUCAGCUGUGGUGGAAAGAAUUUCGGCUAGGGAUGAGCUCGCGGCCUAUCAGCUUGUUGGUGGGGUAAAGCCCACCAAGGCGACGACGGGUAGCCGGCCUGAGAGGGCGACCGGCCACACUGGGACUGAGACACGGCCCAGACUCCUACGGGAGGCAGCAGUGGGGAAUAUUGCGCAAUGGGCGAAAGCCUGACGCAGCGACGCCGCGUGCGGGAUGAAGGCCUUCGGGUUGUAAACCGCUUUCAGCAGGGACGAAGCGAAAGUGACGGUACCUGCAGAAGAAGCGCCGGCUAACUACGCGCCAGCAGCCGC
rnacentral:rRNA from 1 species